rnacentral:rRNA from 1 species
UACGUAGGGCGCAAGCGUUAUCCGGAAUUAUUGGGCGUAAAGGGCUCGUAGGCGGUUUGUCGCGUCGGGAGCGAAAACCCAGGGCUUAACCCUGGGCUGGCUUCCGAUACGGGCAGACUAGAGGUAUGCAGGGGAGAACGGAAUUCCUGGUGUAGCGGUGAAAUGCGCAGAUAUCAGGAGGAACACCGGUGGCGAAGGCGGUUCUCUGGGCAUUACCUGACGCUGAGGAGCGAAAGUGUGGGGAGCGAACAGG